GACGUAGGUGGCGAACGUUAUCCGGAAUUAUUGGGCGUAAAGAGUGUGUAGGCGGUGCUCCAAGUCUGGUGUGAAAUCUCCCGGCUUAACUGGGAGGGUGCAUUAGAAACUGGAAUGCUAGAGGAUGGGAGAGGUAAGCGGAAUUCCUGGUGUAGCGGUGAAAUGCGUAGAUAUCAGGAGGAACACCUGUGGUGUAGACAGCUUACUGGACCAUUUCUGACGCUGAGACACGAAAGCGUGGGUAGCAAACAGG
rnacentral:rRNA from 1 species